rnacentral:rRNA from 1 species
UACGUAGGGGGCAAGCGUUGUCCGGAAUCAUUGGGCGUAAAGAGCGUGUAGGCGGUUCGGUAAGUCGGCUGUGAAAGUCAUGGGCUCAACCCAUGAAAGCCGGCCGAUACUGUCGGACUAGAGUCCGGAAGAGGCGAGUGGAAUUCCCGGUGUAGCGGUGAAAUGCGCAGAUAUCGGGAGGAACACCAAUGGCGAAGGCAGCUCGCUGGGACGGUACUGACGCUGAGGCGCGAAAGCGUGGGGAGCAAACAGG